GGGGAAUAUUGCACAAUGGGGGGAACCCUGAUGCAGCGACGCCGCGUGGGUGAAGGAGCACCUCGGUGCGUAAAGCCCUAUCGGCAGGGAAGAAACAGACGGUACCUGACUAAGAAGCUCCGGCUAAAUACGUGCCAGCAGCCGCGGUAAUACGUAUGGAGCAAGCGUUAUCCGGAUUUACUGGGUGUAAAGGGAGCGUAGGCGGCCUGGCAAGUCUGGUGUGAAAUACCGGGGCCCAACCCCGGGACUGCAUUGGAAACUGCCAGGCUGGAGUGUCGGAGGGGCAGGCGGAAUUCCUAGUGUAGCGGUGAAAUGCGUAGAUAUUAGGAGGAACACCGGUGGCGAAGGCGGCCUGCUGGACGACAACUGACGCUGAGGCUCGAAAGCGUGGGGAGCAAACAG
rnacentral:rRNA from 1 species